UGUGACAGCCUGAGGGACGGGACCGGAGGAGGACCCUGGUGGUGGUGAAGUCGUGGAGGACAGUGAGUGUAGAGCAGGCACUGCUGAUGCGAGGGCGUGCGCGUUGCGUUUGGUUCAGUGCCUGCAAUCAAUACGAGCUCGCUGGGGGUCAUUUUUUUUGUGUCUUUGAAGCAGUUGUUUAUUUGGUUUCUAAAGUGCUGGUUUUCUCAAGUAAUUUCUCAAGCUUUGUCGGAGCCUCUUGUCUUGUUGGCACUAAGUGAGUUUGAGGGCUAUUUUCUAGUCCACUUUGUCGUUUCGACUUUAUUUUUUUGUUGGCUGUAAUUUUACAUUGAAAUGUAAUUCAGUUCGGUUUUGCUGACUUGGGCAUGGAAAGGAAUACGUUAGCGUCAUCAGGAAACCCCUACGAGGCAUCUGUCUCUUGGGGAACCUGAGGAGCUCUCUGGGUUCUGCUUUCACAGAAUCAUAGAAUCAUGGAAUGGUUUGGGUUGGAAGGAGCUUGUCAGUCCAUCCAGUUCCACCCCUGCCAUGGGCAGGGACACCUCCCACCGGAUCAGGGGCUCCAAGCCCCAUCCAACCUGGCCUGGAACCCCUCCAGGGAUGGGGCAGCCACCACUGCUCUGGGCAACCUGGGCCAGGGCCUCCCCACCCACACAGCAAAACAUUUUUUCCUAAGAUCUCAUCUCAAUCUCCCCUUUUUCAGCUUAAAUCCAUUCCCCUUCAUCCUAUCCUUCUAAUCCCUGACAGAACCCCUCCCCAGCUUUCAUGGAGCCCUUUUCAUGCUGGAAGCGUCUCCCCAGAGCCUUCUCCAGGCUGAUCAACUCCAGCUCUCUCAGCCUGUCCUAGACUUUCCUCACCUCAACCCCUUUUCCCCUCAUUUCUCUUCCCCUCCAUUGGCCUUGGGCAGUGCAUUGGGGUAUGAGCACGUGAGGGUGCCGUGUUCCCACAGUUCUGCUGCCCCAAACCCCCCUAAAACCAAACAGUACAUUAAAGUACAGAGGAGGGAAGAGAAAGCCUGAUCUUUACAGAUGACAUUUAAGCCUGCGGAAGGCCGAUGAAUUUUACCCACUGUCACAUUUAAAAGGCACUGAAUUCAUUAUACCACCGAAUAAAUCAUUUUUUCAAAAACGUAUUUAUCCGGAGAAGAGCCACCACUUUCCAGUCAAGAGCUCCUCCUGCCAGGACAAAAGCUGUCAGCACGGCAGCCAGAAUCCAGUGCUCUCCUCUACUGCAACGGUGUUUGGAUCCCACGCUGUUGGUGAAGGGUCCAGAGCACAAGUCUUAGCAGUAGCAGCUGAAGGACCUCGGGCUGUUUAGUCUGGAGAAGAGGAGGCUGAGGGGAGACCUCAUCGGUCUCUACAACUGCCUGAAAGGAGGUUGUGAUGAGGUGGGUGCUGGGCUCUUCUCCCAAAUACCAAGCAAUGGGGCAAGAGGGAAUGGCCUCAAGUUGCACCAGGGGAGGUUUAGAUUGGGUAUAAGGGAAAAUUUCUUUACUGGCAGAGUAGUGAAGCCCUGGAAGAGGCUGCCCAGGGCAGUGGUGGAGUCUCCGUCCCUGGAGGGAUUCAAAACGUGGGUAGAUGUGGCACUUUGGGAAGUGGUUUAGCAGGAACCUGUCCCCUGUCACUUGGCCUCUUCUCCCAAGUGACAGAGGACAGGACAAGAGGGAAUGGCCUGAAGCUCCGCCAGGGGAGGUUCAGGUUGGAUAUCAGAAAAAAAUUCUUCACGGAAAGAGUCAUGGGGCACUGGAACAGCUGCCCAGGGAGGGGGUGGAGUCGCCUUCCCUGGAGGUGUUUAAGGAAUGGGUGGAUGAAGUGCUGAGGGACAUGGUUUAGGGAGUGUUAGGAAUGGUUGGACUCGAUGAUCCAGUGGGUCCUUUCUGACCUGGUGAUUCUGUGAUUCUGUGAACCAUGGGGUUUGGCUGAUGGUUGAACUGGAUGAGCUUAGAGGUCUUUUCCAACCUUAAUGAUUCCGUGAUUCUGUGAUCUUCACUUGAGACAAGGAGCCGAGGCAUUGCCCUGGGGGACUGAACGAGGGCUGACAGUGCUCCAAGGUGCUCGCGCUCUUCCACUACCAACAGCCGCAAAGUUGUUGAGUUGGAGCUUGGUAAAUCAAGCAGGAAAAUAAUCAGCUCUCAACUGAAGUGAGGAGAUAUUUGAUAUUUUACAGCUUCUUUCAUACACUUUACAGAAACUAAUGGUUACACAAAUAAUACCUGGGGGAUGAUAACAGGCUAUAAAUAAUGCAGGGCUCUCCGGCGCAGAGCUGCUGUGUGCAGGCUUGAGGAGCGCAGAGGAGCCUUGGGAUGACUCUGGUCCUGGUCUUCUCAGAAAAGUCAUGGGGAACAGUGCUCUCCUACCAUCCUGGCAGCCCUCUCGGCCAUGUCCCUGCUGUUUUCUCAACCUUUCCUGGCUGGCUCUGCUUUCUCCGCUUCGCACCUGCAUCACCCACUGCCCUGUCCACUGUGGUCAUUAUCAGCGAUGCCCUUUGCCAGUGGGGCCAAGAGAAGCUAGAGGUGUCCCAUGCAUGCGAGGAAACACCAAACCCAUCGCAGUCCAUGCAGCCUUGUCCAUAAGCUGCUUCGAUGUCUGCUUGACCCGAAGGAAUGGAUGUGUUUCUGUGCCUGCGCAUCUCAGGAGAGUGACUGCUUUGGGUCAGGGCCAGACAAGUGCUCAGGGAAAUGGGUUUGCCCAUUCCUGGGCCAGUAUGGCAGCAGUUUUUUUAUGAAUAUUUGCUUUUCUUUGAGAGCCUUUGUGCAGAACUCCCCAUCUGCGGCUGCAAUGGUUUCAAUUUAACUCUGCUGCUAAAUAUUUUGACAAACCUCUCUUCUUACAGCCUCGCGCGGCGUGUCAUCUUGUACGGUAAGAGUCCCCUCGACUCCCUGCUGCGCGCUCCGUGCCGCUGCCAAAACAGGCUGCGCUGGGGAACCACGACCCUCCCAGGCAGAAACACUCCCAUCUCAAACCCCAGAGGUGCCGGAGGGAGAAAACAGCCCCACAGCCGGUGGUCUUUUAGUGGGGCAGGCUGGCUGCCGGGGGAUGCUCAGCGCACCGCCUCAAAAUAUUCCCAUACAUCAGGGGCUGCCCCACCGGCUCUCUUAGCUCUUCACCCAUGAAUUCAUCUUUUUUAAUGAGAACAUGACCAGAAAACUUGGUGGCAGCACCUGCAGCUCGACAAACCAAGAGAACAAAACCCUUUUCCAUCACAGUUCAGCACUGUUUUUUUUUCUCCACCCGUUUCGCAGGGAGGAAUUGGUCUGUCUGCUCUCUUAUCUGUGACUAUGAAAUUGUAUUUCCCUCUUAACAGGCCUACAGGCGUUACAGAUGGCCAGUUCAGGAGCCACGCCGCAAAUGGCAGGAAUGCUAAAAAGAAACAUCAAGUUUUGCUCGCUUUGUGUUGUGGGAUCCAGCACGCGGGAACGCCUCGUGCAUUAACCUCAGCCCCGCUCCACGGGGACGCAUCGCAAAGCCUGACACUGAUGCCUGAUUCCAGCUUGACUCAGGCUGCCGUGGUCCCAAAAAAAAGCUGUGUUUGGUUUGUUUAGCAUCCUCCAGCCUCUCUUUGUCUCAUGCCUGUCUGUAUCCCCCCCAGAGCAGCUAUGCAGACCCUCUGAGCCCUCUGCAAAUCCCAGAGGAAGAGGAGACCACGGCAGACCUGACUUCUUGCACCAUUAACCCCAGUUUCCUGUGCAGAAAACUGCCAAAGCUGAUUUCCAGUGCACGGGUGGCCAAGCGUCCCAGCUGUCUGAGUUCCCUAUCCGAGUGACGAUGCCACCUCCGAGGCAACGGAUUUGGCUCUCUCUGCCUUUCCUGCUGUCAUCGCUGUGUCUUCACCUCUGCAGCUCCAUCACCCGGGUUUCUCUGCACUUCCACUUGCGAGUUUGCAGGCGCUGGCUCUGUGCUUCAAUAUUUGUGUUGCAAAAAAUGUGAGCUGACAAUGUCCCAUCGGACCCACACUCCCGCUCCGUGCCUGCCGGGGGCUUUCGUGUUCAGAAGUGGCUCCGGCAUGGAUGGGAUGUGUUGAUGUGAAGUGCCUCCAGCCCUGUCCUCCUGCUUCCAUCCCUAGGAGACGUUCCUGGGACCAAACAGCUGAGGUCAACCAGAGGUGCAAUACGGUUUUUUCCAGCCCAGGAAUUUGGGGCUGCAGAGCAGAAACCUCAAACUGCUGUUAAAUGUGGGGGAAAGGCAGCCUCCCUCCUCUUGGACUGGAUGAUCCAAUGGGUCUUUUCCAACCUAGUGAUUCUAUGAUUCCAGAAACCGGCACAAGUAAGGGAAAUGAAAAGCAUGCAAGCCCCCACGAUGACGCUGAUUGAUGAACAUCUGGAGAGGCCGAGGUGGGAGAAGCGUCUGCUUUAGAAGGUGGAACAUCAGGUGGUGAGAGGAGACGGUACAGAAAGAAGCUUCUCGAUGGGAUGCCUGCCCAGAGUAUGGACUUCAUCGCCCGAGGUAUCGUGGUGCUCGCUGGCUCCCACACACAAACCGGGGUGGCUUUGGACCAAGCGUUUGGAUGCUGUGCUCGACUGCUGCGGCUCGGGCUGCGGUCCCAAAGCUGCAAGGAGAGGCAGGAAAGGAUGAGCCAGCAGAGUCUGCAGCGCCUGCUUCAUCCGAGGCUGCUUUAAGCAGAAUUUCAGCAGAGACAAGGGCAAGAACAGGAGACAAACGUGUUCUUUCCCUGACAAGGACACCGAGGAUGCCAGCACUGCUGAGAGGUCACUCAGCACCGCAGGGAAGGGUGCCGAGGAGAUGUGUUCUGACUCAGAGGGACAAAUGCAGACAGUGCGAAAUGAGUGAAAACCUGGCUAAAAAGCCUUUCCUUUGGGCAGCUCAAAAGCUGGCAUUUGCAAGUGCCCUCUGCCAGCUGUUGGUUGUGAGGAGUCGCCCCCAAGUCCUACCGACUUCCCGAGAACCCCUCCCGUCAUUCCCGCUGCUGGGCUGCUCGGGCUCCGGUGUCCAGGGAUGCUGAGCAUUGGCAGGGAAGGUUUCUCUCUCUGAUUGCUCCCACCGCCCGCUGGGGAGGCCUCGCUUUCUGAGAGGCAGCUGCUCCCCCAGGUUCAUCCCUCACAACCUCAUCUUUGCCCCUGCCUUUCCACUAAAAGCCGUUUAUUCAAUGAAUCGCUGCCUAAGGGUGAGCAGGGGGGCAGCGAGAGAAGCUCCUUGUGAAGGAUAGGCAAUGGGGUGUCUUUCUCAGCCUUUGCUUUCCAGAAACCAAAAAGCACCUUGGCGUUGUGAAAGGAGGACAAGGAUGGAGAAUGCCGAAGGCAGAGCUGGGACUCCACAGGAGAGCU